rnacentral:rRNA from 1 species
AUGUCGUUAGUGAAACCACCAAAAAAAUUGUUUAUGUUUGCGUGUUUAUUGAAGGCACCAGUCUUCGUCAUCAACACGAACUCGUCACCCCUUCACCAUGUCGCGAGCAAAGCCGCCAAUUUUGGUUAUCAGCACAGUCCAAAUCUGACGCACCACACUGUCGAGGAUCAAGGAAUCAUAUCUUGGACUGUAUCACUGGAUUUGCACUCAUUAGUUGCCACACAGUCGAAGAAUGCCAUGCCACCUCGAGUCUGUCGACACCGCUGCACAAUCAUCUCCAUCGCAAAGAGACAAGAUCAUGAAAGCCGACAACAUCGAGUAAGGCGAGGGAGGAGAAAUCCCACCGUGACACAGUGGAUGUUGCUCCCCAAGGCAGAGAGAGAGAGAGAGAGAGAGAGAGAGAGAGAGAGAGAGAGAGAGAGAGAGAGAGAGAGAGAGAUGGGCGUAGAGGGAUGGCCAUGA